GACUAAGCGUACACGGUGGAUGCCCUGGCAGUCAGAGGCGAUGAAGGACGUGCUAAUCUGCGAUAAGCGUCGGUAAGGUGAUAUGAACCGUUAUAACCGGCGAUUUCCGAAUGGGGAAACCCAGUGUGAUUCGUCACACUAUCAUUAACUGAAUCCAUAGGUUAAUGAGGCGAACCGGGGGAACUGAAACAUCUAAGUACCCCGAGGAAAAGAAAUCAACCGAGAUUCCCCCAGUAGCGGCGAGCGAACGGGGAGCAGCCCAGAGCCUGAAUCAGUGUGUGUGUUAGUGGAAGCGUCUGGAAAGGCGUGCGAUACAGGGUGACAGCCCCGUACACAAAAAUGCACAUACUGUGAGCUCGAUGAGUAGGGCGGGACACGUGGUAUCCUGUCUGAAUAUGGGGGGACCAUCCUCCAAGGCUAAAUACUCCUGACUGACCGAUAGUGAACCAGUACCGUGAGGGAAAGGCGAAAAGAACCCCGGCGAGGGGAGUGAAAAAGAACCUGAAACCGU
rnacentral:rRNA from 1 species